rnacentral:misc_RNA from 1 species
GGAUCCUCUUGAGUUGGAUCACGAAGAGAAAAUAUUGCUUUUUGACGAAACGCGGCAUUAUCAUCAAAGUUUAGCUUAGCAUCAGCAGCCACCAACUGAUUUUCUGAAGUCUCCGCAAUGGGAUUUACUUCCAGUAAUGUGCAGUCACAUUCACAGAAGAGUUUAUACAAUUUUUUCACUUGUUCAAUUGAAUCCUUUCUGUCAGCACCCUUGGGAGCCAAACCAUCCACAACCUUCGCACCAUCUUCAUCAGUAAUUCCUUGGAAAACAUCAAUAGGUACCUUUAUAAUCAUAUCUGGGAAGUUCUCAGCAAGAUCUUCGAUGCUAGUUCCACCCUUUCUACAGGCAAUUAUAAGUGGACCAGCAGUUUUACGAUCCAGAGUGAUAGCGAAGUACAUUUCGUUGAUAAGUGACAACUUCUCACACAGAUAAACCUUACUGACAACUUUGCCCUGGGGACCAGUUUGUUUAGUGACAAGUAUCUGCCCGAGCAUCUUUCCAGCAAUCUCUUCAACCUGGUCCACCUUCACUAUGUGCACUCCACCCUUUAAGCCGCUUUUGAACGUUCCCAAACCUCUUCCACCAGCCAAAAUUUGACUUUUAACGACCAACUCUUUCGCAUCAGGAAAAACAGUUUGCACAGCGUUUUUGGCUUCAUCAACAGAAGAAACAGCAACACCCUUUGGC